UACUAAAGGUGCGAGCGUUAAUCGGAAUUACUGGGCGUAAAGCGCGCGUAGGCGGUUUGCCAAGUUGGAUGUGAAAUCCCCGGGCUCAACCCGGGAACUGCAUUCAAAACUGGCAGGCUAGAGUGUGUAAGAGGAUAGUGGAAUUCCAGGUGUAGCGGUGAAAUGCGUAGAUAUCUGGAGGAACAUCAGUGGCGAAGGCGACUAUCUGGUACAACACUGACGCUGAGGUGCGAAAGCGUGGGGAGCAAACAGG
rnacentral:rRNA from 1 species